UGGAGUAUCGCCAAGCGGUAAGGCAGCGGGUUUUGAUCCCGCCAUUCCCAGGUUCAAAUCCUGGUACUCCA
rnacentral:tRNA from 1 species